UGGGGAAUCUUGCACAAUGGGUGCAACCCUGAUGCAGCGACGCCGCGUGAGCGAUGAAGCCCUUCGGGGCGUAAAGCUCUUUCGACCGGAACGAUAAUGACGGUACCGGGAGAAGAAGCUGCGGCUAACUACGUGCCAGCAGCCGCGGUAAUACGUAGGCAGCAAGCGUUGUUCGGAGUUACUGGGCGUAAAGAGUGCGUAGGCGGCUUUCUAAGUUCGGUGUGAAAUCUCCCGGCUUAACUGGGAGGGUGCGCCGAAGACUGGGAAGCUGGAGUGUGGGAAAGGCAGGCGGAAUUCCUGGUGUAGCGGUGAAAUGCGUAGAUAUCAGGAGGAACACCGGCGGUGUAGACGGCUUGCUAGACCAUAACUGACGCUGAGGCACGAAAGCGUGGGUAGCAAACA
rnacentral:rRNA from 1 species